rnacentral:rRNA from 1 species
UACGGAGGGUGCAAGCGUUAAUCGGAAUUACUGGGCGUAAAGGGUGCGUAGGUGGUUAAUUAAGUUAUCUGUGAAAUCCCCGGGCUCAACCUGGGCAGGUCAGAUAAUACUGGUUAACUCGAGUGUGGGAGAGGGUAGUGGAAUUUCCGGUGUAGCGGUGAAAUGCGUAGAGAUCGGAAGGAACACCAGUGGCGAAGGCGGCUACCUGGCCUAACACUGACACUGAGGCACGAAAGCGUGGGGAGCAAACAGG